CGGCAGCACAGUAAGAGCUUGCUCUUACGGGUGGCGAGUGGCGGACGGGUGAGGAAUGCAUCGGAAUCUACUCUGUCGUGGGGGAUAACGUAGGGAAACUUACGCUAAUACCGCAUACGACCUACGGGUGAAAGCAGGGGAUCUUCGGACCUUGCGCGAUUGAAUGAGCCGAUGCCCGAUUAGCUAGUUGGCGGGGUAAGAGCCCACCAAGGCGACGAUCGGUAGCUGGUCUGAGAGGAUGAUCAGCCACACUGGAACUGAGACACGGUCCAGACUCCUACGGGAGGCAGCAGUGGGGAAUAUUGGACAAUGGGCGCAAGCCUGAUCCAGCCAUACCGCGUGGGUGAAGAAGGCCUUCGGGUUGUAAAGCCCUUUUGUUGGGAAAGAAAAGCAGUCGGUUAAUACCCGAUUGUUCUGACGGUACCCAAAGAAUAAGCACCGGCUAACUUCGUGCCAGCAGCCGCGGUAAUACGAAGGGUGCAAGCGUUACUCGGAAUUACUGGGCGU
rnacentral:rRNA from 1 species